rnacentral:tRNA from 2 species
GGGCUUGUAGCUCAGGUGGUUAGAGCGCACGCCUGAUAAGCGUGAGGUCGGUGGUUCAACUCCACCCAGGCCCACCA